UACGUAGGUGGCAAGCGUUAUCCGGAAUUACUGGGCGUAAAGCGUGCGCAGGCGGUUGUGCAAGACAGAUGUGAAAUCCCCGGGCUCAACCUGGGAAUUGCAUUUGUGACUGCACGGCUAGAGUGUGUCAGAGGGGGGUAGAAUUCCACGUGUAGCAGUGAAAUGCGUAGAGAUGUGGAGGAAUACCGAUGGCGAAGGCAGCCCCCUGGGAUAACACUGACGCUCAUGCACGAAAGCGUGGGGAGCAAACAGG
rnacentral:rRNA from 1 species